rnacentral:tRNA from 1 species
GGGUGAUUACCCAAGUCUGGCUGAAGGGACUAGUCUUGAAAACUAAGCAGGGGCUUCACGGCCCGCGGGGGUUCGAAUCCCUCAUCACCCGCCA